UCUUGUCUGAUCUGAAAAGCUAAGCAGGGUCGGGCCUGGUUAGUACUUGGAUGGGAGACCGCCUGGGAAUACCAGGUGCUGUAAGGA
rnacentral:rRNA from 14 species